rnacentral:rRNA from 1 species
GUAAAGCACUUUCAGUCGUGAGGAAGGUAGUGUAGUUAAUAGCUGCAUUAUUUGACGUUAGCGACAGAAGAAGCACCGGCUAACUCCGUGCCAGCAGCCGCGGUAAUACGGAGGGUGCGAGCGUUAAUCGGAAUUACUGGGCGUAAAGCGCAUGCAGGUGGUUUGUUAAGUCAGAUGUGAAAGACCCGGGGCGUCAACCUCGGAAUAGCAUUUGAAACUAGGCAGACUAGAGUACUGUAGAGGGGGGUAGGAAUUUCAGGUGUAGCGGUGAAAUGCGUAGAGAUCUGAAGGAAUACCGGUGGCGAAGGCGGCCCCCUGGACAGAUACUGACACUCAGAUGCGAAAGCGUGGGGAGCAAACAGGAUUAGAUACCCUGGUAG